ACUUCUACCAUUGUCUGAGAGAUGAGUCCGGAGUUAACACGGAGCAGUGUCUACCUCGCGUCUGGAUACAGCCGCAAAUGUGUCCAGAAUUCAACUCUCGAGUGUCCCGAGUUGACGUGUACCAGUGUACCGUUAAUAACUGUCCCACCUCUCUCUAUUGGUCCAACGCUGUAUUCAUGUAUGUACAUUAAAAUAGAUAUAACAAAAAACGUAGGGAUUUUAGCUUUACCAU